rnacentral:rRNA from 1 species
GGGUUAAGUCCCGCAACGAGCGCAACCCUUAUCCUUUGUUGCCAGCGAUUCGGUCGGGAACUCAAAGGAGACUGCCAGUGAUAAACUGGAGGAAGGUGGGGAUGCCGUCAAGUCAUCAUGGCCCUUACGAGUAGGGCUACACACGUGCUACAAUGGCGUAUACAGAGGGCGACGAAGCCGCGAGGUGGAGUGAAUCUCACAAAGUACGUCUAAGUCCGGAUUGGAGUCUGCAACUCGACUCCAUGAAGUCGGAAUCGCUAGUAAUCGCGAAUCAGAAUGUCGCGGUGAAUACGUUCCCGGGCCUUGUACACACCGCCCGUCACACCAUGGGAGUGGGUUGUACCAGAAGUAGAUAGCUUAACCUUCGGGGGGGCGUUUACCACGGUAUGAUUCAUGACUGGGGUGAAGUCGUAACAAGGUAACCGUAGGGGAACCUGCGGUUGGAUCACCUCCUUACC